UAAUAAUGAAAUAUAAUUUACAUUUACUUUUUAAAUAGGUCUUGUGUGAGAUCGGUCACUAGCUAGAGAGCAGUCCUCUCUCGCCCCGACCCAAAGCUACCCAUGUUCCCUCCCCACCCUAAAUUCUAAUCUUCAGCAGCCAUCUCUCUCUCACGCGCGCGCGCCUCUUUUACAAGAAGUCGCGACAUCUACCAUUGAAGAUGUGGUUGAGGGUCUACUCAUAGGAGAUGCGCUUGACCACCCAAUCGGGGUUGAGGCGGUAGCCGCCCACAUGGGAGUACUUGGGGCAGCACAACUCGAGUUCGUAGACGGCGAGUAUGACGUGGCAGAGGUGGGGGACGAAGUCGAAUUCAUCGGCAGUGGCGGUGGCCCAGCUCUUGCUGUCGUAGGAGCCGAUGUAGGUGCAGAGCUUUUCCACCCACCAUAGGCACCCCAAAACGACGACACAUUCCACGCCACAAGCUAUAGACAUUUCAUCGAACAGUUUGAGAUCAUCAACUCUCGCCACCAUGAAUUCCUCCAACUCGUCGUCUCUGGCCUCAUCUACAACCUAUUCUCCGAUCUCAAUAGACAGGACUACUUCCAAAAAAUCCACGACAAAUACUCGCGUGUGUUGGAAUGACUCAGGUCGAGUUCCUCUUUAGCAAGGCAGAGCCGAUGCUGAGGAGGUUUCGAAUUUUCAAGUGCGGAUUUACGACAAGGAGGGUGACAGAGCAACUGGAUGUGGCGACGAAGGGGGCGUGGAUGUUGAAGAGGGAUUUCAAUAUUGAUUUUUGAUCUCCAAUUUGACUUAUUAAUCCUCAAACAUUACUUUAGUUUUAUUCACGAGAUGUUUUGCUUUUAUUUAUUUGGUCAAGUACUUAUUUUUGUAAGAAAAAAAUAAUUAUUGAUAUGAUGAAAGGUAAUGUUUCAAAAAUUUUACCUUUUUU